ACGUUUGUAGGGGGCAGGCCGGCGAUAAUGAGGCUUUAAACUCGGCGAUAACCGAGCAGUAAUCUCGGCGCGCGGCUUCAUUAUCACCGAUCUGGUACCUUAUCUAAUCUCCGUGCAUGGAUAUCACUUCACUCAGGCCAUCAUGAAGAAUGUGCGUCACAAUAAUUUGGCUCGCCUAUACGACAAGGACGCUGGAACAAGAGACCUGAUCAAGCAUGCCAUGGCGCUGUGCUAUAUACCAGCUAUGUUUAUUACGUCCAUAUUCAAAUCACUGAACGAAAAGAUGCAAACUCAAGAUCUUCGCCGAAUAUUUUCAAAACACAUGGCUAUACAACAGUGUCUGGACUCCCAAUGAUUGGUCAGUAUUCGACGUAGAAAUAAGAACCAACAAUCAUCUGGAAGGUUGGCAACGCCAUUUUAACAAUAUAACUCGGAAAAAUAUGCCUUUUUACAGUUUAAUCUCAACAAUGUACGAGGUAAGUAUAGGGAUAGAGGCGGACGUUGUGGGGCGUGUCAACGGCAGGUAUGCGGAAGCCAACGAGAGGGUGCAACGUGUCUGGGAACAGAACAAGGAAAGAGAGUUAUCUGUGGACUCUCUUCUUCGAAAGUGUUCAAGGAUCUACGGGCCGCAGUAUUGCAAAGAGUAAGUAUGUAACGCAGCAAAUUUCCCAUAACGUUUAGUAUUCAAAUAAAAUUCAUUAUUCGUAACGAAAA